AUCAUUACAGUGCCCGUGGGGGCGCGCCCCCCAAGGUGCGCCCCCCGUCCGGCCACCCGUGACUACCUGACCCCGUUGCUUCGGCGGGCCCGCGCCUCCGGGCCCGCCCCGGGUGCCACUCGCGCCCCGGGGCCCGCGCCCGCCGAAGGACUUUAGAACCCUUUGCUGAUCAGUGGCCGUCUGAGUAGUGAUUUUGAAUCAGUCAAAACUUUCAACAACGGAUCUCUUGGUUCCAGCAUCGAUGAAGAACGCAGCGAAAUGCGAUAAGUAAUGUGAAUUGCAGAAUUCCGUGAAUCAUCGAAUCUUUGAACGCACAUUGCGCCCUCUGGUAUUCCGGGGGGCAUGCCUGUCCGAGCGUCAUUGCAACCCUCAAGCCCGGCUUGUGUGAUGGGCGCGCGUCCCCUGCUGGGGACGCGCCCGAAAGGCAGUGGCGGCGUCGUGGUUAUCCAAUCGCCCGAGUGUAUGGGGCUCUGUCACACGCUCGAGGUGAGGACCGGCGCCUGCCGAAUCUCUCCAUUCUCGUGGUUGACCUCGGAUCAGGUAGGGAUACCCGCUGAACUUAAGCAUAUCAAUAAGCGGAGGA
rnacentral:rRNA from 1 species